UACGUAGGUGGCAAGCGUUGUCCGGAUUUAUUGGGUUUAAAGGGUGCGUAGGCGGUCUAUUAAGUCAGUUGUGAAAUACGGCAGCUCAACUGUCGAGGUGCAAUUGAUACUGAUGGACUUGAGUACUGAUGAGGUAAGCGGAAUGGACGGUGUAGCGGUGAAAUGCUUAGAUAUCGUCCAGAACACCGAUAGCGAAGGCAGCUUACUAAGGAGUAACUGACGCUGAGGCACGAAAGUGUGGGGAUCAAACAGGA
rnacentral:rRNA from 1 species